GCACCUGAUCUAGCCAUGCCGCGUGAGUGAUGAAGGCCCUAGGGUCGUAAAGCUCUUUCGCCAGGGAUGAUAAUGACAGUACCUGGUAAAGAAACCCCGGCUAACUCCGUGCCAGCAGCCGCGGUAAUACGGAGGGGGUUAGCGUUGUUCGGAAUUACUGGGCGUAAAGCGCGCGUAGGCGGAUCAGAAAGUUGGGGGUGAAAUCCCGGGGCUCAACCCCGGAACUGCCUCCAAAACUCCUGGUCUUGAGUUCGAGAGAGGUGAGUGGAAUUCCGAGUGUAGAGGUGAAAUUCGUAGAUAUUCGGAGGAACACCAGUGGCGAAGGCGGCUCACUGGCUCGAUACUGACGCUGAGGUGCGAAAGUGUGGGGAGCAAACAGGAUUAGAUACCCCGGUAGUC
rnacentral:rRNA from 1 species